rnacentral:rRNA from 1 species
ACGGCUCAGUAACACGUGGACAACCUACCCUGAGGAGAGGGAUAACCCCGGAGAACUGGGGAUAAUACCUCAUAGACCAGGGAUGCUGGAAUGCUUCCUGGUCCAAAGGUCCGCCGCCUCAGGAUGGGUCUGCGGCCGAUUAGGUUGUUGUUGGGGUAACGGCCCAACAAGCCUUUGAUCGGUACGGGUUGUGGGAGCAAGAGCCCGGAGAUGGAUUCUGAGACACGAAUCCAGGCCCUACGGGGCGCAGCAGGCGCGAAAACUUUACAAUGCGAGAAAUCGUGAUAAGGGAACCCCGAGUGCCCGUAAAUCCGGGCUGUCCGCCAGUGUAAAUAACUGGUGAAGAAAGGGCCGGGCAAGACCGGUGCCAGCCGCCGCGGUAAUACCGGCGGCUCGAGUGGUGGCCGCUAUUACUGGGCUUAAAGCGUUCGUAGCUGGGCUGUUAAGUCCCCUGGGAAAUCCACCGGCUCAACCGAUGGGCGUUCAGGGGAUACUGGCAGCCUAGGGACCGGGAGAGGUGAGGGGUACUCCAGGGGUAGGAGUGAAAUCCUGUAAUCCUUGGGGGACCACCUGUGGCGUAGGCGUCUCACUAGAACGGCUCCGACAGUGAGGAACGAAAGCUGGGGGAGCAAACCGGAUUAGAUACCCGGGUAGUCCCAGCUGUAAACGAUGCGCGUUAGGUGUAUCGGUGACCACGAGUCACCGAGGUGCCGAAGAGAAAUCGUGAAACGUGCCGCCUGGGAAGUACGGUCGCAAGGCUGAAACUUAAAGGAAUUGGCGGGGGAGCAC